GUCAUAUGAGAUGGUACUAUUUCAGCUUUGCAAUACUUCCAAGUAACCAUAAGAGGGCAGUAGUUACUCACAUUUGAUUAUAGAAACUUCCAUGGGCGUCCACAAGCAACUCCUCCUUAGACCAACAUUAUAAUAGCAAAAGCAAAGCUCCCAUAUUCACUGAUUUAUUUGGACUUCAAGAUGUCUUCAGCAGACACAGUCAUGUCACACAUGUUGAAGAAUAUAUUUCUCUUCACGCUAUUAAUCUUUGGGUGCAGAUCAGAGGACUCAGUUGAUCAGCCAGACAAACAUUUGACUGAAACUGAAGGAAGAUCUGUGACAUUACAGUGUAAAUAUAAAACAGAUUCUGUACAAGAAGAUUUAUUCUGGUAUAUCCAGAGAGCAAACGACUUUCCUAAAUACAUCCUGAGGAGAAGCAAAUAUGGAGGAGAAAAUGGCACUGAGUUUCAGGAGAGAUUUCACUCUGAACUUUCAUCAAACUCAGUUCCUCUGAUGAUCAAGGAUGUGAGUGUGUCUGACUCUGCUGUGUAUUACUGUGCUCUGAGGCCCACUGUGACAAAACUCAAGUCAAACCACAUACAAAAACUCUGAGGCAUAAACG